rnacentral:lncRNA from 1 species
AACGUUAUGGUGCACCAAAUGAGUGCCACCAUAGAUGAAUAUUAAUUUUUUUUUUAAGAUGCAUCUCUGGAUAUUUUUAACAAAUAUAAUGAUAGUUGAUCAACUUAGUGGACAUUUCGGAGAUGUAUCUUCGAAAAUUUGAGUUGACAUUUUUAAAUUUGCUGUCAUCUUUGCAUGUCAGAUAUUUUUGGAGAUGCAUCUUCAGAAUAAUUGGAUAAAACACAGAGUUGCAUGAUCAUACAACCAUACUUGUUUUUCACUCAAAACCCUCACAAAAAACC